UUUAAAAACAUAAAUAUUCAUUAGACUGACAUAUCCAUAUGUUAAAAAUAGAACUGAUUUGCAAACCCUACUAAAGUCACUAUAUAAAUCAUUAUGAAAGGCAAUUAACUCUUAUUAUAGUAAUGAAAAAUGUAUGAAAUCCGUUCUUUAUUUGUGACGUCAUAAAAAUCACUAACAUAGUAAUCAAGCUAACCUCAAUAACAAAAUUAAAAAAAAAAAAAACAUUAGUUGAUUUAAUUUAUUAGUCUAUUCAUAAGAUAUAUCGUGAAAUAUCUAAUAUCUGAGAUAUUUACUUUUUUUCAUUUCAUUGUGACUGUUCUCCGAUUCCUCGAGCCUGAAAUUGAUUCACUGUGUAAGUUCAAUGCUCUCAAGUCUAUCUACUGGGGGCGUUGACCUAGUCAGCCAUCUUGUAUUCUUAUAAUAUAUACGCAACAUUGCAUAUUCAGAUUGCGGAGGUCGGGUCAAUCAGCCCUAGACUGUAUGUCACGCAGACACACUGCCCUAGUUUCCCACCAAUCAGUACCGUCCCAACAUUCACCUUAAAUGCCCUCAAUUUUGAACAUAUAUAAGAUGCAGAAUUUGGGUUAGGGGAACAAUUCUACUCACUAGGUCAGAGUUACUACAACAUAGAGGGGGACCAGCAUCCUUACCAGGUGCUGGUCCCCAGAGAGAGAAACACGCACUCACUGGAAAGAAAAAGAACAUAAGAAAGCGAAAUGAACCCACUGGAAAGAAAAAGAACAUAAGAAAACGAAGUGGACAUUCCUCCAAACAUGGCUAUGGAAUAUCUAUAGAGACACCGUGAAAAUGAUGGAUUUUCAUCGAUUUGUCAAACCUGCAGUCUUGAAUGAAAAAGAUAAUGGAAGAAGCGAAAGGGGAAAAGAUUCCUCGAAGAAAUUUAACUACCGGUGAUCAUUACUAUCAGAAAACUAACUUGUUAUGAAUGUAUGACGUAAUUACUCGUGUUUAGCUUUGACUUUUUUUUUCAUAUCUACUUUGUUUAAUUGAUAAUCUCAAUGCAGUGCACUAUGCUGCACAAUCGGAUGAUGUUUCAUCCCGGUGACCUUACUGUACUGAAAGCUAGUUUUUAUGACUGCUGGUGAAUGGAGUGAACUUAGCUGAAAUGGACUGAAUGGACAGGUGAAUGAAAUGAAUGUGGACUCUGCUGAGAAGUUGUGUGUGUUUUGAAUGGUGUUGACUUAGUUUAGAUGUAUAUUAUUGGAGCCCUUGUUUUGGGACCCCUCUACUUACUAUAAGUACCGUGAACAGCCACACGUGUGCCAUAUGUUGAAGUCAUUGUGCAUAAUUGUAUUGCAUGGCAGUGAUGACAGUGUAAUCUGCUUGUUCUCUUUAAGUUGCAUUCUCAGGUAUGUGCGCCACUGAAUAAUAUGUUUAAGCAGCACAUAAUGAUGAAAUUUAUCGGUGUGCGUGUAUUUGUGUCUGCGCGUGCGUGUUUGUGUAUGUGCGAGUUGGUGUCUGUGUGCACUUGUUGGUGUCUGUGUGUGCGUGUUGGUGUCUGCGCGUGCGUGUUGUUGUCUGUGCGUGCGUGUUGGUGUCUGUGCAUGCGUGUUGGUGUCUGCGCGUGCGUGUUAACAUACUCAUGUUGAUGGUGAUAAGCACGCUUCGGAAUAUUAGGAAUGGACAUGAGAUUUAGAAUAGUUGCUCUGUAUGGGGGUUGAUAUAAUGCUAAUCUAUGAAUAUAGCCGCUCUGUAUGUGCCUUCAAUUCAAAGUGGUCAGAACUUCUGCAGCUUGAAUUGGGAUGAAUAUGUACCGGUGAUUUUGUACAUAUAUAUGAUGUCCUACUUGAGUUUUAUGUUGAUAUUUUGUGUGUGGUUUAUACAAUCCGGGCAUUUCAAGAACAGCAAAUUUUCACGAGCUUGCUUUUAGACUUGCAGGGCUUGUAUAAACACAUAUAUCGCAAAAUGAGCUACCGGUGAGACUAAUGUUAAAAUCUUUAUUGAACUUUAAUAUUUGCUGUGUCAACUGUUGGCGAGAAUGAGGUUGAGGUAUGUCUGGCGGGUGUUAAUUAAAAGAGAAGGGAUGUUUGUACAGAUGUGAUGAAAGGUGUGUAUGAUAUAUCGCAGUUUGAUUAAAUGUAAUAAUUACGCUACGUGUUUCUACUGCACGAGCUGAGGAUGAAUCCCGUACCGGUGACGAGACAAUAAUCAAAAGAGGAGAGAGAGAGAGAAUCGUGUACAUUACUGUCUACUGUUGUGAAUUUCUGUGCCAUAUUACAUCAAACGUUUAAGUUUGCAAUGCACUCGAUGCUACUUGUUCAUAAAGGAUCUUUUGUUUUUGUAGAACAAAUAUUUGUUUUGGUAAUAAAAAAAAAUGGAGCAGUU